rnacentral:rRNA from 1 species
CACGUAGGGGGCAAGCGUUGUCCGGAUUUAUUGGGCGUAAAGAGCUCGUAGGUGGUUCGGUAAGUCGGGUGUUAAACCCCCAGGCUCAACCUGGGGACGCCACUCGAUACUGCUGUGACUAGAGUCCGGUAGGGGAGCGUGGAAUUCCUGGUGUAGCGGUGAAAUGCGCAGAUAUCAGGAGGAACACCAGCGGCGAAGGCGGCGCUCUGGGCCGGUACUGACGCUGAGGAGCGAAAGCGUGGGGAGCAAACAGG